rnacentral:rRNA from 1 species
GAUGAGCGCUGGCGGCGUGCCUAAUACAUGCAAGUCGAGCGAACGGACGAGAAGCUUGCUUCUCUGAUGUUAGCGGCGGACGGGUGAGUAACACGUGGAUAACCUACCUAUAAGACUGGGAUAACUUCGGGAAACCGGAGCUAAUACCGGAUAAUAUUUUGAACCGCAUGGUUCAAAAGUGAAAGAUGGUCUUGCUGUCACUUAUAGAUGGAUCCGCGCUGCAUUAGCUAGUUGGUAAGGUAACGGCUUACCAAGGCAACGAUGCAUAGCCGACCUGAGAGGGUGAUCGGCCACACUGGAACUGAGACACGGUCCAGACUCCUACGGGAGGCAGCAGUAGGGAAUCUUCCGCAAUGGGCGAAAGCCUGACGGAGCAACGCCGCGUGAGUGAUGAAGGUCUUCGGAUCGUAAAACUCUGUUAUUAGGGAAGAACAUAUGUGUAAGUAACUGUGCACAUCUUGACGGUACCUAAUCAGAAAGCCACGGCUAACUACGUG